AGUUGUGUUUCUUAAAGAAUAUUAUUUGCUAACUGAAAACAGAAAUGAUACAGUUAAAAACCAAACAUAAAAAGCACCAGUAGAAGUCAUUUCAAAAUACUCAAUACAUAUUACUUUUAAACAGU